AUUGAACGCUGGCGGUAUGCCUAACACAUGCAAGUCGAACGAGGUAGCAAUACCUAGUGGCGGACGGGUGAGGAAUACGUAGGGAUCUGCCCUUAAGUGGGGGAUAACCCGGGGAAACCCGGAUUAAUACCGCAUGAUCUCGCAAGAGCAAAGAGGGGGACCGCAAGGCCUCUCGCUUUUUGGCGGAACCUACGUCGGAUUAGCUAGUUGGUGAGGUAAUGGCUCACCAAGGCGACGAUCCGUAACUGGUCUGAGGGGAUGAUCAGUCACACCGGAACUGAGACACGGUCCGG
rnacentral:rRNA from 1 species